rnacentral:lncRNA from 1 species
AUGAUGAAUUAUAGAAAAGAAGAAAAGGAAAAGAGGCAAGGGAAGGGAACCAUGGUUAUUGAGAUCCUAGCUUCUAUGGAAAUUCGUUCAGAAGAUAAUAUAUUACUGCUCUUAUUUUACAGAUUGAAACACGUCUGUGCCACGAAGUUUGCUGACAAACACUGGAGGCAGUUUAUUACCGGAACAUUUCUUCCAAAGGCAGCUGUUCAAAGGACACUCUUCCCCUCGCCUGCCACCCCCUCCCCACUUACUCCCCAACUCUGCAAAAAUAAAAUCAUACAGAAAUCACAUCGUUUCCAAUUAUUUCAGAUUCGGUAACAGGCACGGCCAUCUUUAUUUUGUAGGAAUCAGUAAAGAGAAUAAAAGCAAGGCAUAGAAUAAAUCAAGCCCUACUUGAUCAUCAUUAUCUCAAAAUUUAGUGCCAAGUCCUGUUGGAGUUCUCCAGAAGCACGUUUGAUUAGCAGCAGCUUCCUUAGUAAGAGGAGGCAGUGUUCAUGGCCAGGAAGCCACCUUACUAAUGAGAGCAUCAGAUUCCCUGAACGGUUUAUCCAGAUAAAUCCAUUUCUCAUCUUAUUAUAAGUAAAGUGCAUCUUACCCAUGAGCACACAUAAGGUCAGUAAGCAAGCUGAUAGCAGCUUCUCUCAUAUGUGAAUGAUAAUUUUGUCCUUUUUAACCCUUGAAUUAUCAUCCGACACAACACCCGGCACUCACUGGCUUGCUGUGCCUGAACAUAAAACACUCAAGCAGUCUAUUUUGUUUUGGAGAGAGAAGCAGGAAUAUUAUUCAUAUUGAUUGGAUCCUUUCUGUUGGUCUUGGCCGUCUAAUUAAACCAAAUUUGUAUUUUAGUGCCUUGGUAACAUGAGGUUCAAAUAGAUAGGGGUAUUAUAUUCUUAUGGAAAGCAAAGCCGGGUUGGUAUACAAGAAUGAGGGCUGUGCAAGGCAGGAGUUCUACAGGAGUGCUGUUAUUACACAAUUUCCUCUGAAAUUUUAUCAUCUAUUUGAUAUUAUUGCACAAAUUCUGAGGUCAGACUUCAAAGUAAAACUCUGGAUGGGAUCAAUUGGAGUAGUAGGAUUUCAAUUUCCAAUUAUAAAUUAAAAUAUAGGUAUAAUGGAAAAAUUUGUCAUUUAUAAUAGGAGCAAAAAUGCAUUUAAUUGUACCUCAUAGUGAUUUUAUUCAUGAAUAUGGUCACUUCAACUUAAUUUCACCCUUUGCCCAAGUAGAAUUUCACUUUGGUUUAUUUGUUUAACACAAAAGAGAACUUCUGGCUUAUUAUGAUUCAGAUGAUUGACAUGUCUGUAUUUGGAUCCAGAAAAUGUUAUUUAAAAUCUCAUAAGAACGUAAACAUCUCAUGAAACUUUAUUCCCAUAACAAUAAAAGAACUUUCUGUUAAAUUAUUUGUUUUAAUUAGAAUUUUAAAAAGGCAUAGUU